UACGAACUGUGCAAACGUUAUUCGGAUUCACUGGGCUUAAAGGGUGCGUAGGCGGCCAUGUAAGUAGGGUGUGAAAUCCCCCGGCUUAACCGGGGAACUGCGCCCUAAACUGUGUGGCUUGAGUGAGAUAGGGGUGUGUGGAACUUCCGGUGGAGCGGUGAAAUGUGUUGAUAUCGGAAGGAACGCCGGUGGCGAAAGCGACACACUGGGUCUCAACUGACGCUAAGGCACGAAAGCCAGGGGAGCGAACGGG
rnacentral:rRNA from 1 species